GUGCAGGCAGACCGUAGUCACGAUUCCAAUAUUCUCUUCAGAGGCAUUCGGUAUUUCACUACAUUGUGUUUGUUAUUAUCAUUUAUACCUCUAAAACGUAUUAUAUGAUAAUGAAAUAGUUUCAAAGACUAUUUGCACAGCUGGUUCACUAGUUGUUUUAAUUUAGUGACAUGUUGUGACAAUAAAAUCCAAUUUUCUAUAAAAAAGUUGUUCAAGUGAGGAUGUCCCUGUUUGCUUAAUUAUUGUUGAGGCGGCGGCGGCAGUCGCGGCGGCGGCCGGGUAUGUGCGGCGUGUGUGAGGUUGCCGCGGGCGCGGAAUGUGGCAAGUAGUAUCGGCGGCAGCGCCGCGGGGUAGAAAGCGGCCGCGCACUCCCCGGCCCUUAUCAACACUUCAACGACGCUAAAUUGUUAUGUUACACGCUUAUUUAGGACAACACGUCAUAUGCUUACCCAUCUAAGAUUAUAGUUUUUUUCCUCUAUACUGGACUCCGACACAUUUAGGUAUGUAAAGUUGUGACUGAAUUAUACAUUGUGAUAUUUCAAAACGAAGCAAUCCAGGUGCCUUUACCCCGAAAACGCAAUAUGAUUGAGUCGCCUAAGUGGCUAGUUUAGGUACUUCUAAUGAAUAUAUGAAGUUAUCAUGCUUAUAGCUCGUAUGUAGCUAUAAAUGAACUGACGUUAAUGUUACGCGUAAUUUCAAUAACAAAUUAAGAAUCGGUGAACUUAACAGGUAGUAUGUUAUUACUAGAUAGACAGUUUCCGCGGAUCUAAGUACUUGUUCAAGGAUUGAGUUUAGGCAAUUUAUAUUGAAACAAAAUUUUUGUAUGUUAUCCUGUUUAAACAUAUUACAGUCCGUUUAUAAUUUAAAGGCAGUUUAAUCAUUAGAACAUUUUUAGUUCAAAAUGAUUUAAAAUUGCAAAAUAAUAAAAAUUAAAUAAUUAGAAAAUUUUAAAUCCCUAAAAAUCCGUUGGCAAAGUAUACGUAGAGCUUUCCAUUGAAUGGAAAAAUGCACCGUGAAGCCGGUUUGUUCAUACCUUCCGGAUUCCCAACCUGCUACUCUAGGUCAGCAUGCGGCGUCUCGCUCACUCCCACGAGCCUCGCCUCAGAUUGCAAGAUCGAUUUGGGGUCGCGUCGCGUCGCCCUAACCUAGAUUGUCUGCGCUCGGUAGACUUUGUAAUAAAGCCUGCAUCGACUCCACGUCUGUCCCUUAACAAGUACGCAAACUCCUAUUUCUUCCUAUUCCUAACAACCAUAAACCAAGCGUUGUCAAAUAACACUUAGAAAAAGAGAAGUUGCGAAAUCAAAUAGCUUUUUACUUUGUAUAUGUUAAAGAAGUGAGACGUGAGUGGUCUUAAUGUACAUAUCAAUGCGAUCCAGCCAUUAAUCUCUGUGUAAUAGUCAAACAGCCAACUGACUUAACUAGAAUGACAAUCUUCCGCGUGACACUGCGCAAGAAUGAAUGCUCUUAUUUUUUGUUUGUUUCUUUGUUAUGAUCAGUUUUUUCUUUCAUUCAAAUGGACAUAUUAACAAAUCGUGCCAGUUUUGGUACGUCUUACGUUUAAAAAAACAGUUUUCACGUCUGCGAUAAUUAAUUGAUUGUAUCAUACUUAGGCACACUUUUAUAGGAUAAGUACGUAUAAUAUAUAAAUCACAUUAAAAUGCAAGUUAAUAAAGUCCAUAGAUAUUCAUGAAGUGUAGUUUUGAGAUGGGGGUCCUAAUAAGGCAGUGCACCUGUGCGGCCGGGUCUCGAACGGGGCCAGGCGGCCUGCGCGCGCUUUGUAAUCAUUCAACUGUUCCGCCAAGCCAACAUCAUCCCGCGACUCCGGUAAUAAAUACUUACAAAACGGUAUUCACAAAAAACACAACAACAAAUAAUUUGCCUUCUUCGGAUUAUUGAAUCCAGAAAUGAGAAUAUUCCACAGAAGAAUUCAAUUAUAGUUAAUCGCUGUUGAUAUUAAUCGUUAACUGCGCAUGUGAUUACAUUUUAAUAUUUAACUAGGACCGAUCCGUAUGGGUACAGUAAUAUUAAUUGGUAUUUAAUUACGAGAUAUCGAGAAAUGUGUAGCGCUACUUCUAGGCUCAUAGCAUGUUUUGAACCACCGUUAUCUGUUUCUAAUAGCACCUAUUCAUAAGAGUUUAAGUUUUUUCCUAAGUUACGAUGACAAUGUAGUUAUUAUAAACGUAAUAAAACUAAACUUAAGGCGGUAGGUGCAGCGAUCGUAGAGUAACAAAAAUGUCCUAUUGUAAAAAAAUAUGAACUCCCAAUGGAGUGAGUCAGCGCAGAGACAGAUGAUGUAAGUUUACGAAGUACAACAUUCGUAUGACAUUUGACUCGUUAGUGAGCAGUUAAACAAAGAUAUUCUUUUUUUAAUGAGCCACUGAACAUAAUUUAGAUAUUAAGUAAUAUAUUGGUUCUAGUUAGUGAAAGCUGUUUGUACAACUUUUACCAAAUAAAUUCCAUUUUUUUUAAA